UACGGUGGGGGCAAGCGUUGUUCGGAAUUACUGGGCGUAAAGGGCGCGUAGGCGGUGCUCUAAGUCGGAUGUGAAAACUCUGGGCUCAACCCAGAGCCUGCAUCCGAAACUGGAGUGCUAGAGUUCUGGAGGGGGUAGCGGAAUUCCUGGUGUAGCGGUGAAAUGCGUAGAUAUCAGGAGGAACACCGAUGGCGAAGGCAGAUCUCUGGGCCGUAACUGACGCUGAGGAGCGAAAGCAUGGGGAGCGAACAGG
rnacentral:rRNA from 1 species